GACGAACGCUGGCGGCGUGCCUAAUACAUGCAAGUCGAGCGUAACUGGGGGAGCUUGCUCCUUCCAGUUUAGCGGCGGACGGGUGAGUAACACGUGGGCAACCUGCCCUGCAGAUCGGGAUAACUCCGGGAAACCGGUGCUAAUACCGAAUAGUUUGGCGCCUCUCCUGAGGCGCUACGGAAAGACGGUUUCGGCUGUCACUGGAGGAUGGGCCCGCGGCGCAUUAGCUAGUUGGUGGGGUAACGGCCCACCAAGGCGACGAUGCGUAGCCGACCUGAGAGGGUGACCGGCCACACUGGGACUGAGACACGGCCCAGACUCCUACGGGAGGCAGCAGUAGGGAAUCUUCCGCAAUGGACGCAAGUCUGACGGAGCAACGCCGCGUGAGUGACGAAGGUUUUCGGAUCGUAAAACUCUGUUGUGAGGGAAGAACACGUACCAACUAACUAUUGGUACCUUGACGGUACCUCACCAGAAAGCCACGGCUAACUACGUGCCAGCCGCCGCAGUAA
rnacentral:rRNA from 1 species